CAAAACAACUGCUAUUUAUUAUAAAAGUCAGUGGCUUCUGAUUAGAAGCCUUUUUUUUUUUUUUUUAAACCAAAUAGGCUCAAGAAGCUGGAUGGAGGUUGAACUGACUGACGAACAUCUUCCUCUACCAGCGGUUUGUGGGACACAUCACGUUUCUGCCAGUGCUAAGGCUAAAGCCCAUAUUCAGAGAGGCACCCUGACAGCCUUUCUCCAGCAUCUUGCAGAAAACAGAACCUCAGCACUCAAAGCUACAUCAACCCAUGUGACCUUGCCCCCAGAGAAGCACCUGCCAGUUUGGGCAUGGAGGAAGAGAAAGUGGGCAGGAAAUUCUCCUUGGCUCCUUAGAAGGCAGUGGGAGCCCAGGGAAGCGUUCGGCCCCAGUGCAGCCUAACUGGGAGGGAGGGAUGGGUAGAGGCUGCUGGGCUUCUCCUUCCUCACCCUCAUGCGGGGUGGCUGCCCCUCUGGCUCCUUCAGAGCUCCUCCCUUCCAAGUUCCUACUGAGAAACAAGAAGGCACAAAGGAAAAUCAGCCACCUCCUGGAGGUCACUGUGGGCCACCUGCUUUGCUAAGAGCCAAGCACAGAUCCCUGCAUUCUACCUGCAGGAGAGCCCACCCGGCUCAGAAGAAAGCAAUUCUGCCUGUGGGGAGGAGAGGAAGGGAGGGGAGGGGAGGAAACAUGGUGAGGUGGAAGCAGGGAGCAGAGCUUCUGCAUCCCUCCUCUCCUUCCCUGCCAGAAAUGCAAUUAAGCAAGCAGCCCAGACUCAGCCGCACAGACAGCGCUUCCUGCUGGGGGAAGUCAAAAGGGCUGUAGCGGUGGGAGAGGGAGGUCAUCAGGUCCCAUAUCUAAUUAACCAACCUGCCUUGCUUUUGAUGUUGCUGCAUUUCCUCUAUUAACAUUAAUGAUGGUUGGUUUGAAUGUCCAAGCAUGGCCAGAAGCUUCCCUCCCCACCACCCAGUAGGUAGCACAGCCUGUCCCUGGGACCAAUAUCCAGUCUCCGUGGCAACCAUCUCCUGAAGAUGCUUUAAAGAGAUCUGACCCUGUCAGAGUUGUUGGGAGCUACAGAGGGGGGAAAAUGGAGUGUGGCAGAUUCAUCAUUAAAUCCUGAAGCAUCAAAGUCCUCUGAGACAAAAGAAAUAUGUUGUCAUGCACCAGGAAGGAGGAGGCAGGCUGAAGGGCUGGCCUUGGGUGGUUUGGUUCUACCACAGCGUUUUCUUCAUCCCUUUCGGGGAGGAAGUGGAAGGGGCAGCUCUGAGCUUCUUGUUCGAGCUGCAGAGUGGUAGACGCAGGAAGCUGGGAUGCAUUUCUAGGUGCCGUGGGUCUUCAUUGCUGCAGCAGUGACAGAGAGAAAGGGAAUUGCCCACAGAGUGAGGGAGGGGUGAGCAGAGGAGGACUGUAGAAGUGACACUGGGAAAGCUCAGCAGGUGACAGAACAUUAGUCUGGAGAGGCCAGAGUCCCCAUACCCCAGCACCACGCAGAUUCCCUGUCCUGUCUCUCAUCUACCUUGGGCACUAAGCAAGGUUCCCAAGGGCUCUCCCAACAGCCAGGAGAAUGCAUCUGCCUUGCCCUCCAGGCCAGGCCAGAUGCACUUGGAGAGACCCGGCCUCUGGCACACGGGGCCUGGAAACACUGAGCAGCCCAGGAUAGGACAUCAUUCCUCCCCUGCAUCUCACAGUGUGACAAUCCCAAAAAACGAGGAACCAAGGACUAAGGCAGGCCGACGCUCCGGAGUCCGGUGCUCUCUGUGCGUCACGGGCAG
ensembl:lncRNA